rnacentral:rRNA from 1 species
AAGGAUCAUUAUCGAGUUUUGACUGGGUUGUAGCUGGCCUUCCGAGGCAUGUGCACGCCCUGCUCAUCCACUCUACACCUGUGCACUUACUGUGGGUUUUACGGGUCGUGAAAUKGGCUCGUUCAUUCGGGCUUGUUGAGCGCACUUGUUGCCUGCGUUUAUCACAAACUCCAUAAAGUAUUAGAAUGUGUAUUGCGAUGUAACGCAUCUAUAUACAACUUUCAGCAACGGAUCUCUUGGCUCUCGCAUCGAUGAAGAACGCAGCGAAAUGCGAUAAGUAAUGUGAAUUGCAGAAUUCAGUGAAUCAUCGAAUCUUUGAACGCACCUUGCGCUCCUUGGUAUUCCGAGGAGCAUGCCUGUUUGAGUGUCAUGAAAUCUUCAAUCUACAAGCUUCUUAUGGGAGUUUGUAGGCUUGGACUUGGAGGCUUGUCGGUCCUUUACAGGUCGGCUCCUCUCAAAUGCAUUAGCUUGGUUCCUUGCGGAUCGGCUUGUCGGUGUGAUAAUGUCUACGCCGGGACCGUGAAGCGUGUUUGGGCGAGCUUCUAACCGUCUCGUUACGGAGACAACUUUAUGACCUCUGACCUCAAAUCAGGUAGGACUACCCGCUGAACUUAA